CCUGACAGGAGGCAAAACGUCUCCACUUUCUACCGAUAUAAGACAUCCGAACACUGGGAUGCAACGUGUCCACUUUAAUAAGCAAAAGCAAAAACGAAUACGUUAUGUUUCUGCAGCAUUGAGUCAUUGCAGAAACAGCUGGCUGACGUUUACUGCGUCAGUACCAACUUAUUACAUAAAAAGGAUCCUUUCAAAGCAAACUCCCCCCUUAGAAGAAAGGUUGCCAGGGACACAGGAUGGUAAAGAUGUGAUUAAUGCAGGGGAUGAGAAAUACAACUGUUGAUGCGACGAUUCCCAUUUCCACAUGUGAUGUCUUAUCUAACCAAGGAAAGACACGUUAAUGAAGGUGAGGAGGGAGCUGACGCGUUAGCAGCUUUUCUUUGGAUGUCGGCACUUUUGGACCUUGUCUCCCAGGUGGAGGUUUGGCUCUUGAAUUGAUCGCUUCAUUGAUUUUUAUCUCCA
ensembl:lncRNA